UCACUUGUUCUUUAAAUGAGGACUCGUAUCAACGGCAUCACGAGGAUCCUACUGUCUCCCCCCUCUAAUCGGUGAAACUGAUCUCUCCGUGAAGAAGCGGAGAUGUACAUAUAAGACGAGAAGACCCCAUGGAGCUUUAAACCCAACAACACCCGCCCCCCUCCAAAUCCUAUUAUUUACCCGGUGAUUGUUUGUUUGGUUUUAGGUUGGGGUGACCGCGGAGUAUAAGAUAUCCUCCAUGAAAAAAGCUAACUGCCCUUAUUAGAGAAAGACACUUCCAAAAAAUAAUAAAUUAAUUUUAAAUGAUCCGACAUUCGAUCAACGAACCAAGUUACCCUGGGGAUAACAGCGCAAUCCGUCCCGAGAGCCCCUAUCGACAGGCGGGUUUACGACCUCGAUGUUGGAUCAGGGUAUCCCAGUGGUGCAGCAGCUACUAAAGGUUCGUUUGUUCAACGAUUAAAACCCU
rnacentral:rRNA from 1 species